GCUCUGAGCUGUCAGCACAGAGCCCAACAUGGGGCUCAAACUCACGAACUGCGAGAGCAUGAUCUGAGCUUCAGUCGGACGCUCAGCUGACUGAGUCACCCAGGCGCCCCUGUUGGUUAUAUUUCUUUGAUUCCCUAUUCCAGCCUGAAGUGGUAUUCUGUUAGUCCUAACUCUUCAGCAUCAAUUCAACAAAUAUUUGGCACGUACCAAUUCUUUGUGCCCCUCUCUGUAAGGAACCAAUAAUCUCACUGGGGAUAAGAGAGAAAAAUGGGAAAUAUCUAUAAAACAAAAGAAGUCAUCAUGUCAGGAGCAUAAAUACAUUAAGCACCUACUAUAUACAAAGCUCUAAGUUUUUUUAAAUAAAAUAUAAAAGCAUCAAUCAUGAUGCCGAGAUGAGUCAAAAGCAGCCUUUCUAUGGGUUGACAGAGGGAGAUGGAUGGGGGAUGGGCUAGAUGGGUGAUGGGUACUAAGGAGCGUACCUGUUGUGAUGAGCACCGGGUGUUGUUAUGUAAGUAAUGAAUCACCAAAUUCUACUCCUGAAACUAAUAUUGUGGUAUGUUAACUAACUAAAAUUUAAAUUAAAAAAUGGAGGGGGGAAGCAGCCUUAAAUAUCAUCCUACCCAAGCCUGUCCCCCAUCUCAUUUUACAGAGGACAAAACUGAAGUCUAGAAAGGAGGUGUGGCUUGCCUAGUCUAGAGAACGCAGUUAAGGCAGAGGCGGAGUGGCAGCCCAGAUGCAAUACUCUUCCUUCUGCUCCCUGCACCCUUCCAAAACAAUCCAGAAAUUCAGAGAACAUAUCCCAAAUGUUCUUUGCAGGAGGGUGAACUAUCAAAUCUAUAAAAUUAAUUAACCAAUAGUUAAAACACAGAAUUAUGGGCCGAGAUGCUAAACUGCACUGGGAAGUACUAGUGCAGCCUGUGGUCAAAGAGGAGGUAGGACUUCACCUGGGGCGUCUCACUUACGGACGUGAACAUCUAGGGUGUUCCAUUUGUGGAAAGCUUUGGGAAGGCUUCCAACGAGGCCUCAGCAUGUGCAAAAUCAGUCAUGACUAAGACUGUCCCGAGGAUCCUGAGAAGGCCUAAUGCCUUACAGUUUGAAGGGACCUCAUCCAUGCCCUCAUUUUCACUUAUAACUGAGGAGGAAAACAAAACUCUCUUAAGUAUCACAGAAUUAACCAGUCCCUUAUCCAGACCUAAACCCAGGGUUCUUAGUCAAAAACAGCACAGAUAAGUAGAGAAUUCAUAAGCUUUCAGCUAGAUAUGCAUUUAAAAACUCACUUUGUCAAUGACUAUCUGCUUCUCUUAGUAAGAGGUGGGUCCAGGUGUUCUAUAACUUCUUUGACCAAUGGAUAUGGUGGAAAUGAUGCUCAGCCAUUUUCCAGGUCCAUACCUUAAAAGUGGCAGUUUCUACUUCCUGUAUCUUGGGACACUCACUCUUGGAUGCAGUCACCAUGUUAAGAGGAAACCCAAGCCACGUGAGGAGGCCACAAGUACGUGUUCUAACUGACAGUCUCAGAUGAAGUUCCAGACAACAGCCAGAACAAUACCAGACAUGUUUCACAGGUGAAGAAUCAAUGGAUAAAAGUAGGAGCGGCUCCUUUAAUGAUCUACAAGUGAAAUUUUUGCUUCUUAUUCUUGCAUCUUCAGACUCUGCUGGUCUAAAGGUCUUAGGUACCCAUCAUGUAAUGCUGCCUCUGGGGACAAAACAAUGUUUCCAUUAAACUGGAAGUCAAGACUUGCAUUCAGCCACUUGGAAUUUCUCAUGUCAACAAGCUAUGAAGAGAGUUACCAGGUGGGGUGAUUGAUCUUGACUAUCAAGAGGAAAUUGGGAUAUUCUUACACAAUCAGGAUAAGAAGGGAGAUGUCUGGAAGAAGAGAUGCUCUAGAGUGCCUCUUCUACCCCUAUGUCCUAUGAUUAAAGUCAAAUGGAAAACUACAACCCAAUACAGGCAAGAUGGCCAGUGACCCACACCCUUCAGGAAUAAACUCUGGAGUCAUCCACCAGGCACAGAAACAUAAGGAACCAACUUGCUUGUUGAGGGCAAUGGGAAUAUGGAAUGUAUGGUAAAUGGAAGUUAUAAAUAUCAGUUACCACUACAUGACCAGUUGCAGAAAUAAAGACUGAAAUGGU